UCUCUCUCUCUCUCUCUCUCUCAUGGAGAUCGGCGUCCGUCCUCCAGUCCGCCAAGAACCACCCAACCUAUCCAUCUCAAAUGGAAAUCUCUCUCUUAAUUGGAGAUCCGGCGUGGUGUUUUUGUGUACGAUUCAUGUUGCAACCCUAGGAUCCAUCUCUCUCUCUCUCUCUCUCUCUCUCUCUCUCUCUCUCUCUCUCUCUCUCUCUCUCUCUCUCUCUCUCUCUCUCUCUCUCUCUCUCUCUCCCCUCUGUUUUCCUUUCCAUUUAUCCGAAACUCCAGAAGCCCCAUUUCCAAUUGAGGUUUUCUUUGAAUUGCUGAAAAAUGGUAUGUUUACGUGAUUCUCAGAUUGAUCUCGGCCGCUGUAACCCUCGGAUUGAAGAAACGGGGCCCUAACUUGGUCUGAAGACAUGGUGACCUCAUGCAUCUUUCUUUCUCUCGUUUUUUUUUUUUUUUGCUCUACCCAUUUCUUCUCCUCUUCCGGAUCUGAUCUCGUUUGUCUUUGGUAGCUGCUCGUUUGGGCAAUUUUGUGCUUUCCCUUGCAAAAAUUGAGUUUCAUCAGUGAAACGUUGGAAAUGCAGUUGAAGUGAGUGGAUUUAGAAGAUUUUGGUGCUUGAUUUGAAGGUUUUUACUCAACGUUUGAAGUUUUUAAAGUAAGUUGAUUGAAAAUUCUUGAAUUGGACUGCAAUGCAUUGAUCUUAUUCAUCCGAUCUACUUUUUAGCUUGAUUUACCAUUUUGAUUCUUGGCUUUGGGUUUUGAGCUUAUUCUUGUAGAAAUCGAGUGAUUCUGUUCUGUUAUGAUCUGAAAUUUGUUCAUUUAAUGGGGUUGAAGCCGUUUAUUUUUUCAUAGGGUUUUGACUCUUUGAUUUGAAAGUUCUGAAGGUUCCUACUGUGGAAGAUAGUGAGAUCUGCUUAAGUUUUGAAGGUUCUUACUGUGGAAGAUAGUGGUGCGCCGUGCUCAUGAAUACCUGAUCCGAUCCAUUCAUUGUAUCUGCUCCGCGAAGUAUCACAUGUGGAAGGGAAAUCCUCACUAUUGAACGAUUCGUAACCAUCUGAUGGAUUGCCUGAAAAUGGAUGGUAGGAAAGAAUUUUGGCAGUGGUAGGCAUCAAAUGCAGAAAUGCCCAAAACCUUAGGAGAGGUCCUGAUCAUGGAUUGGAUUAGCAAGCGUUUGGCACCUUCAUAAAUAGAUCACUGUUCCUUUUGUUUCCUCCCUCGCUGUUAUGAAAUUGAAUUCAUGGGUAUGUUUUAUGUGGUAUUUUACAAUGCUCGGUUGCUCGAUUGCUCAUGUUGCAUGCUCAUGUUUUCAGUUUGUACAAGUGGGGCCAUAGUUCAGUGGUUCAAAAAGUUGAUAUGAUGGGACCCACUGUAGGUGAUCAAUGUGCCAAAUAUCCCAUGGACUCUGGCCCUUUUUUUAAUAACUAGAUGUGGACCAUUGGUGCAUUUUCUGUAAUAACUGUUUGUUUUCUAGAUACUUUGAAGAGGGAGGAUUUUUCAAUUUGGGAGAUUUGGUGCGCCAGCCAUCUAAACCAGGUCCGACCAUAUCAACCGUUUAGAUCACUUUAUAAAUCAUUGUUUUUCCAUUUAUUCCUGGCUAAUCCUAGAUUUCCAACAUCAAAUCAUAUGUUAUUUUCAUAUUCAAUUAUAGCUCCUACACUCCUUCAUGCCUAUUUCAUUCUACAUGUUGGAUGUUUUUCCCUCUGAUUAUGUAUUAAAUGCAAUGCAGAGAACAUGACCAACUCAACAUGGUUUGUCUCUCUUUUGAGUACGGAGUCUGAACUCCCGGUUAAUCAUAAAUACCAUCUUCGUCAAUCAUCUAAACUUCUACAAAAUCAGAGGUUUUCAAUGUGUCCCAUUUCUAGUUCUAUCCUCUCUAAUCUUGCCACUCAUCAAUCUUAACUUCCUCAUUCCAGCUGCACUCAUUCUAUGAACGUGUUGUUCCUGGAUUGCCCAACGUUAAGCAUGGCUAGACUUAUAGUUGUCCUAUAAAAUCUUCCUUUCAGUUCGAUUUGUAUACGACGAUUGCAUAAAACUACAAAGCACCAUCUCCACUUUAUCUACUCAGCUCAAAUUCUAUGAACAACAUCCUUAUGAAUCUCUUUGUUCUCAUGAGUUAUUAAUGCAAGAUAUGAAUUGGUCAUUUUUGGCUGUUUCUUGGCCAUCAGUCUCAACUAAUUCCUCACUUCCACGCCUAUUGUUUCUAAAACUGGUUUUCACAUACUCUUUAUUUUAUUUUUUUUCCCAGCUAAUUUAAAACAUGUCUGGUUAUGAGGCAUACUUGUCCUAGUCUGGUUUCUUAAAGCUUAUAGUUGUAGAGCAUAACAACAAUACUUAAAUACCAUCUUCUAUGCAUUCAUGGUAAUGAGUGGGUCUUCUUUAAUAAUAUAUGUAAUUUUGUUUUUUUUUGGCAAGGAAAGUGUAUAUGGAAGGCAUCGUUAAGCAAGCUUCUAAUAGGCAAUAUUGGGGGCUUUGGAAUCAUCAGAAGUUCAAUCCAGAAUUUAAACUGAAGAGAACAAAUACUGAAAAUAAACCAGGGCUUGAAGGAGAUUAAUCCCGAUGCCGCUGCAAUUGAGGAAAGCAAGACAAUGGCUCUUGCCAUAGUACCACCUGCCUGUGAAAAGUCCUGUGAGGACAUGUGGUGAUAUUCAUGGCCAAUUUCAUGAUCUUGCAGAACUUUUUCGAAUUGGAGGGAAGGUUGCUGGAAAUGAAAACCCUUUGACUCUUAUUUGCUUUGCAUCAAAGACUACCAAUGCAGGACAGAUUACAUCGAAGUUACUUGGGAUUGAACUUAGUGGCCAACCAGGUAUAUAGAAAGUGGGCCAAGGGCUUGCUUCUAACAAGGGAAGGGGUUGACCACCAGUUAUCUGGAGCAGAUGAGUGGACUCUCUCAAAGUAAUCAAACAAAGAAACUUCAAACUUGCAAAAUGCCUCCUCUCUCAACAAGCCAGAGAUCCUAGUUCCGCUGCUUGGUCAUGCAUGAUGACAUGCUCUGUGGUUUGGGCCAUGCAUCAUGCAUGCUUCACAAGGAGUGGAGCAGGGAGGGUUUUUUAUUUAUUUUUCAUGUAUUCGGACCAUUGUAAAUUUAUUGUUCUAAAUAUAUACAAUUUUUAUUAUAAAGUUGUUCAAUAUUUGUUUAAUAUUAA